AAAAAUCCCCCUCCUGCUGCACUCCUCCGCCACCGGGCUAGGUUGAAAGGAAAAAGCCAAGAAGCGCGAAGCAGCCCGGCUCUGGAAGGCUUUGGAGAGUCCAGCUGACUUGUACACAAUUCGCGGCCUCUGGAGCCUUACCUGCCUUCUUGACUGAAUGCCACCAGUUCGUUUUACGCUUGUGGCCUGUGAGGUGUGUCCCUCCAGACUGAGAGGCUAUGACUCAGGGUUGGACUUUAUGGAAAAAAAGAAGUUUAUAAAACAAGUAACCCAGUUUCUCCAACCUUUACUGUGGAGCAACAGCGUCAAGCAACAAAACCCAGCAAAGUUUUGCUUGUCACUUACAAGGGUGUUACUGAAAUCUGGAAGGCGAACAAUUAGAAGAUAGCCCAAACAUGCUCUAUUGCUCUACACUGAAAUACUUGCCUCCAAUAAUAGAAAAAACCUGUUUUCGUGCAAUUGAUUGAUUAGCGUUCUGCAGCAGUCCCUGGACAAUUUUAAAGACAUUUUGUGUUUGUGGCCAAAAUUAGAAACAAGCAGACACACACACAAAACAACCAUAUUCAAGACACGGUUCGACUGUUUCCUUGACACUACCCACGAAGUUUAAAGCAUUUUUUAUGUUAUUUUCAAACUUUCUUAAGUGAUCCCAUGAAAUAAAAGUCGAUAAUAGAAAUUAAAACAACACAGAGCAAAGAACGAGCUUAGUGAAAUGGAGAAGCAGUAGAGGUAAAUAAAAAUCCUCGAGCUAGAAAGCUCUAAGAACCGCUUAUAAAUUCAGUUACCUCCUGAACUCCGGCCGAUGGCCACUCCGGCCCGGGAGUGCCCCGCGCCGACCCGCUGGCCUUGGCCGUCUCAGCCUUCAUUAUCGCCACGGCCUUGGCGCCCCCUGCCCCCGGCUGCCCAGGGGAACCAAGUUCCCGCUGCUGGAGUUGGGGCAGAGGAGCCCCGCCUCAUUCAGGAUUCGGUGGCCAGCGCAGAGCCAUUUGAAUAGAAGAAGCCCGAAGUGAAACAGAAAAGCUGAAAACUCCCCGGCUGGGCUCUCCACUUCUCGGUUCUUGCUCACGAGUUCCAAACAGUUAAAGUGACGUUGGCAAGGCCGAGGGCCACCGAGCUCUGUGAGACUCCCUUGGAGGGGUCAGGAAACUUAGCUCGAGAAGCUUGGAGGCGGCUGGGAGUUGGGGCGCAACUUCAGUGACCGGGCGCCGCUGCCGGGCUGGGGCUCCCAAGCGUCCGGCUCCCGGGGUGGUCGACGCGGCGCUGCCUUCGAUCAGGUCCCGCCGACCUCGGGCCUCUGGACCACCACCGCCCCAGCUGGUCUGGCAACCCAUCCCGGGCGCAAUCGCGCUCCUCCCCUUCUCCUCUGCAUUCCCGCAGGUCCUGGGGCGGCUCCAUCCCCCCAAGGCUGAGAGAUGGCGAGGGAGGCUCCAAAGAGUUUCGGGAGGGGGCGCCGGAUCUGGUUUAAGAGACCGCGGAACAGAUGGUGGAGAGCUCCUGGAUGAAAGUUUUUGAACAGGCACUCGCUAAUAGACUUGCUUUGACGACUCAGGGUGUAAUUGAAGGGUCAUUUAAUCUAGACGCAAGGUGAAAGAAAACAGGCCCGGGGGUGUGGCAUACCUAAGGAGGAACUAGAGCAUCUUUUCACUAGGUUUGCCUGUCAUUUUGACUUUCCUGGAAAAUACGUUCUUAAGUCAAAUUUUAAGAAUGUCUGAGAAGCAUCUCUGAGUAUCUCUUCCAAAAACCUUUCGUGUAUUUUUU
rnacentral:lncRNA from 1 species